rnacentral:rRNA from 1 species
GCGGCAGGCCUAACACAUGCAAGUCGAGCGGUAGAGAGAAGCUUGCUUCUCUUGGGAGCGGCGGACGGGUGAGUAAUGCCUAGGAAUCUGCCUGGUAGUGGGGGAUAACGUUCGGAAACGGACGCUAAUACCGCAUACGUCCUACGGGAGAAAGCAGGGGACCUUCGGGCCUUGCGCUAUCAGAUGAGCCUAGGUCGGAUUAGCUAGUUGGUGAGGUAAUGGCUCACCAAGGCGACGAUCCGUAACUGGUCUGAGAGGAUGAUCAGUCACACUGGAACUGAGACACGGUCCAGACUCCUACGGGAGGCAGCAGUGGGGAAUAUUGGACAAUGGGCGAAAGCCUGAUCCAGCCAUGCCGCGUGUGUGAAGAAGGUCUUCGGAUUGUAAAGCACUUUAAGUUGGGAGGAAGGGUUGUAGAUUAAUACUCUGCAAUUUUGACGUUACCGACAGAAUAAGCACCGGCUAACUCUGUGCCAGCAGCCGCGGUAAUACAGAGGGUGCAAGCGUUAAUCGGAAUUACUGGGCGUAAAGCGCGCGUAGGUGGUUUGUUAAGUUGGAUGUGAAAUCCCCGGGCUCAACCUGGGAACUGCAUUCAAAACUGACUGACUAGAGUAUGGUAGAGGGUGGUGGAAUUUCCUGUGUAGCGGUGAAAUGCGUAGAUAUAGGAAGGAACACCAGUGGCGAAGGCGACCACCUGGACUAAUACUGACACUGAGGUGCGAAAGC